rnacentral:rRNA from 1 species
GACGAACGCUGGCGGCGUGCCUAAUACAUGCAAGUCGAACGCAGUGGGGACGGGUGAGUAACACGUGGGUAACCUCCCAUCAGAGGGGAUAACACUUGGAAACAGGUGCUAAACCGAUACUGAUGGAUGGACCCGCGGUGGAUUAGCUAGUUGGUGAGGUAACGGCGUACCAAGGCCACGAUGCAUAGCCGUCCUGAGAGGGGGAUCGGCGACAAGGGGACGGAGAAACGGCCCAGACUCAUACGGGAGGCAGCAGUAGGGAAUCUUCGGCAAUGGACGAAAGUCUGACGGAGCAACGCCGCGUGAGUGAAGAAGGUUUUCGGAUCGUAAAGCUCUGUUGUUAGAGAAGCGGUAUCUAACCAGAAAGCCACGGCUAACUACGUGCCAGCAGCCGCGGUAAUUC